rnacentral:rRNA from 1 species
CAUCCUUCGGGGUGUGAGUACAGUGGCGCACGGGUGAGUAACACGUGGGUUACCUGCCCUCCGGUGGGGAAUAACUCCGCGAAAGUGGAGCUAAUACCGCAUACGACCUUUGGGUGAAAGUCCUAGGACGCCGGAGGAGGGGCCCGCGGCCGAUUAGCUUGUUGGUGAGGUAAUGGCUCACCAAGGCUGCAAUCGGUAGCCGGCCUGAGAGGGCACACGGCCACACUGGCACUGAGACACGGGCCAGACUCCUACGGGAGGCAGCAGUGGGGAAUCUUGCACAAUGGGGGAAACCCUGAUGCAGCGACGCCGCGUGAGCGAUGAAGUCCUUCGGGGCGUAAAGCUCUUUCAGUGGGAACGAUAAUGACGGUACCCACAGAAGAAGCUGCGGCUAACUACGUGCCAGCAGCCGCGGUAAUACGUAGGCAGCGAGCGUUGUUCGGAGUUACUGGGCGUAAAGAGUGCGUAGGCGGUUACGUAAGUCUGGUGUGAAAUCUCCUGGCUCAACUGGGAGGGUGCGCCGGAAACUGCGGAGCUUGAGCACGGGAGAGGAAAGCGGAAUUCCUGGUGUAGCGGUGAAAUGCGUAGAUAUCAGGAGGAACACCGGUGGUGUAGACGGCUUUCUGGACCGUUGCUGACGCUGAGGCACGAAAGCGUGGGGAGCAAACAGGAUUAGAUACCCUGGUAGUCCACGCCCUAAACGAUGCAUACUUGGUGUGGGCACUUCAGUGUGUCCGUGCCGGAGCUAACGCGUUAAGUAUGCCGCCUGGGG